rnacentral:rRNA from 1 species
UACGAGGGGGGCAAGCGUUGUCCGGAAUCAUUGGGCGUAAAGAGCGCGUAGGCGGCCCUGUAAGUCCGCUGUGAAAGUCAAGGGCUCAACCCUUGGAUGCCGGUGGAUACUGCAGGGCUAGAGUACGGAAGAGGCGAGUGGAAUUCCUGGUGUAGCGGUGAAAUGCGCAGAUAUCAGGAGGAACACCGGUGGCGAAGGCGGGUCUCUGGGCCGAUACUGACGUGAGGAGCGAAAGCGUGGGGAGCGAACAGG